ACUACAGGAUUUUCUUAGUAGCGGCGAGCGAAAAGAAAAUAGUUCAGCACUAAGUCACUUUGUCUUUAUGGCAAAUGUGAGAUGCAGUGUAUGGAAUGUCAAAUUUCUAGUAUGAGAAAUUAACGAUUUAAGUCCUUCUUAAAUGAGGCCAUUUACCCAAAGAGGGUGCCAGGCCCGUAUAACGUUAAUGAUUACUAGAUGGCAUUUCCAAAGAGUCGUGUUGCUUGAUAGUGCAGCACUAAGUGGGUGGUAAACUCCAUCUAAAACUAAAUAUAACCAUGAGACCGAUAGUAAACAAGUACCGUGAGGGAAAGUUGAAAAGAACUCUGAAUAGAGAGUUAAAUAGUACGUGAAACUGCUUAGAGGUUAAGCCCGAUGAACCUGAAUAUCCAUUAUGGAAAAUUCAUCAUUAUGAUUUUAAUAUUUGUAAUAUUAUAAUAAUGGUGUGCAUUUUUUCUAUAAAGGACAUUGUAAUCUAUUAACUUUAAUAUAUUUAUCAUAAGAUCAUUAGAUUAUGUUUAUUCAAAUUAUUUUGCUUGCAAUUUAAUAUCGAAUAAAUUCUUUUGAUUUGAUAAAGUGUUGAUAGAUUUAUUAUAUACAGUGCUUAAAUAUUUAUAUUUUAUAAUAUCAUAUUAAUCAAUGAUUUUUAUGUUCAUUAUAUGCACUUGUAUGAUUAACAAUGCGAAAGAUUCAGGAUACCUUCGGGACCCGUCUUGAAAC
rnacentral:rRNA from 1 species